UGUUAAAAAAUUGACUCAAUUCUAUUGUUAAAAAUUGGUUUGGCUAACAAAAUAGCUAGACAAUUAUACAUGGCAUGCCACAUGUAUCUUAUUUUGAUGUACACGGGUUAGUUUUUAACAAUAAAAAUGAAUAAAUUUUUUAACA
rfam:Gossypium arboreum cultivar AKA8401 contig_54287_3, whole genome shotgun sequence.